rnacentral:lncRNA from 1 species
AUGUGGCUAAAAGCACCAUUCAGUAUUAUUCACCCAGGGAGAGUUGGAAGCAGCAAAAUACAAAUGUCUGUAAUUCUCAAAACCUCCAGUAGAGAGCGCCAUAUCAUAUCGCUCCCAUUCCCCACAUACUGUAUCAUCCAUCCAUCUCUCCCAUUCCCCACCUACUGUAUCAUCCAUCCAGACAUCUCUCCCAUUCCCCACAUACUGUAUCAUCCAUCCAGACAUCUCUCCCAUUCCCCACCUACUGUAUCAUCCAUCCAGACAUCUCUCCCAUUCCCCACAUACUGUAUCAUCCAUCCAGACAUCUCUCCCAUUCCCCACAUACUGUAUCAUCCAUCCAGACAUCUCUCCCAUUCCCCACAUACUGUAUCAUCCAUCCAGACAUCUCUCCCAUUCCCCACAUACUGUAUCAUCCAUCCAGACAUCUCUCCCAUUCCCCACAUACUGUAUCAUCCAUCCAUCCAGACAUCUCUCCCAUUCCCCACAUACUGUAUCAUCCAUCCAUCCAGACAUCUCUCCCAUUCCCCACAUACUGUAUCAUCCAUCCAUCCAGACAUCUCUCCCAUUCCCCACAUAAUGUAUCAUCCAUCCAUCCAGACAUCUCUCCCAUUCCCCACAUACUGUAUCAUCCAUCCAUCCAGACAUCUCUCCCAUUCCCCACAUACUGUAUCAUCCAUCCAUCCAGACAUCUCUCCCAUUCCCCACAUACUGUAUCAUCCAUCCAUCCAGACAUCUCUCCCAUUCCCCACAUACUGUAUCAUCCAUCCAUCCAGACAUCUCUCCCAUUCCCCACAUACUGUAUCAUCCAUCCAUCCAGACAUCUCUCCCAUUCCCCACAUAAUGUAUCAUCCAUCCAUCCAGACAUCUCUCCCAUUCCCCACAUACUGUAUCAUCCAUCCAUCCAGACAUCUCUCCCAUUCCCCACAUACUGUAUCAUCCAUCCAUCCAGACAUCUCUCCCAUUCCCCACAUACUGUAUCAUCCAUCCAUCCAGACAUCUCUCCCAUUCCCCACAUACUGUAUCAUCCAUCCAUCCAGACAUCUCUCCCAUUCCCCACAUACUGUAUCAUCCAUCCAGACAUCUCUCCCAUUCCCCACAUACUGUAUCAUCCAUCCAGACAUCUCUCCCAUUCCCCACAUACUGUAUCAUCCAUCCAGACAUCUCUCCCAUUCCCCACAUACUGUAUCAUCCAUCCAGACAUCUCUCCCAUUCCCCACAUACUGUAUCAUCCAUCCAUCCAGACAUCUCUCCCAUUCCCCACAUACUGUAUCAUCCAUCCAUCCAGACAUCUCUCCCAUUCCCCACAUACUGUAUCAUCCAUCCAUCCAGACAUCUCUCCCAUUCCCCACAUAA